rnacentral:rRNA from 1 species
AUUGAACGCUGGUGGCAUGCCUUACACAUGCAAGUCGAACGGCAGCACGGGAGCUUGCUCCUGGUGGCGAGUGGCGAACGGGUGAGUAACACAUCGGAACGUACCCUGAAGUGGGGGAUAACGUAGCGAAAGUUACGCUAAUACCGCAUAUUCUGUGAGCAGGAAAGAGGGGGAUCGCAAGACCUCUUGCUUUAGGAGCGGCCGAUGUCGGAUUAGCUAGUUGGUGAGGUAAAGGCUUACCAAGGCGACGAUCCGUAGCGGGUCUGAGAGGAUGAUCCGCCACACUGGGACUGAGACACGGCCCAGACUCCUACGGGAGGCAGCAGUGGGGGAAUUUUGGACAAUGGGCGCAAGCCUGAUCCAGCCAUGCCGCGUGAGUGAAGAAGGCCU